UACGUAGGGUGCAAGCGUUAAUCGGAAUUACUGGGCGUAAAGCGUGCGCAGGCGGUUUUGUAAGUCAGAUGUGAAAUCCCCGGGCUCAACCUGGGAACUGCAUUUGUGACUGCAUGGCUAGAGUACGGUAGAGGGGGAUGGAAUUCCCGGUGUAGCGGUGAAAUGCGCAGAUAUCGGGAGGAACACCAAUGGCGAAGGCAAUCCCCUGGACCUGUACUGACGCUGAGGAGCGAAAGCAUGGGGAGCGAACAGG
rnacentral:rRNA from 1 species